rnacentral:siRNA from 1 species
AAGGAUAUCCUCGAAAGUCUCC